GCUUCACUUAAUUCUGAAUGUGACUCAUUUAAACAUUUAUUUAAAUGCGUCUGUCAUAAGUGCAUUGCUCAAGGGAAUAAAAAGAGGCGUUUCACCAGGUUUUCCUCUGGUGGACCCUCCUCGCUAUAGCCRACCUGUGGAAGCAGCUGCUUCCACCUGACUUUAUUUAGGGGUAUCAGAGGAAAAAGGAACAGAAUGUACACCACAUAUUAGAUUUUUAACUUCCACUUCACAAUUUUGCACCGUUUCAUGAUGGCGAAUCAGAAAUAAUCMCAAUAAAAUACAUAAGUUUGUGUUUGUUAGUUUGUGGCAAUCUGAAAAGUGUGAAAAAGAUCUUAAGAGACUUUAAAAGUCUUUAAAAAAAAUCCUCAGCUUUCCAAAAUAGGGACUUGAACUUCCUUCAUUUAGCUCUUAAAUUAGCACAUCUGUUCAUUCCUUGCUUUUCMAUUCAUUCUCUGUGUUACAGUCUUGAAGAAUCUCUUCUCUCAGCGAGUCUUGCUCAAGAUGGUGGCAUGAAUACAUUCAGUCAUAGAAGUCUGACAGGGACGCAGAGGAGGAAAACUAUUAGGGGUAGCCAUUUGGAUCCUGGAGGCAAUCCCAGGGAGUAUUAAGACGUUAACCCUGGCCAAGUCACUUGUCUCUCUCAGUUACUGUGCUGAUGGGGUGGGGAAAGGAUCCGGUCGCAAGGGGAGAUCCAGGAGACAGGAGCUUUGGGUCAGCUGCCGUUUCCAGGUCCAAUCGAGCCUGACUCGAAUGGGGGAUGGUUGUCAGGAGCCUCCUUGGCUGGGCUUUAAGGAGGCUCUGCGCCAAAACAAAGGACAAAAAGCAGAAAGUGUGCCAUCUYUACCCACACCGGAUUCAGGAAGACUCACCGAUAUCUGUGGAAAAAGUCAAAUAAAUAUGUUUAAUUAUAAUGUGAUUUUUCUUUUUUUCAAUGAAUAAAUAUUGAACGUUG